AGGGCUGGGAAGGUGGCUUAGUGGUAGAGUGCUUGCCUGGCAUGCAUGAAGCCCUGGGUUCGAUUCCUCAGCACCACAUAUAUAGAAAAGGCCAGAAGCGGCGCUGUGGCUCAAGUGGGCAGAGUGCCAGCCUUGAGCA